GAUGAACGCUGGCGGCGUGCCUAAUACAUGCAAGUCGAGCGAAUGGAUUGAGAGCUUGCUCUUAUGAAGUUAGCGGCGGACGGGUGAGUAACACGUGGGUAACCUGCCCAUAAGACUGGGAUAACUCCGGGAAACCGGGGCUAAUACCGGAUAACAUUUUGAACCGCAUGGUUCGAAAUUGAAAGGCGGCUUCGGCUGUCACUUAUGGAUGGACCCGCGUCGCAUUAGCUAGUUGGUGAGGUAACGGCGCACCAAGGCAACGAUGCGUAGCCGACCUGAGAGGGUGAUCGGCCACACUGGGACUGCGACACGGCCCAGACUCCUACGGGAGGCAGCAGUAGGGAAUCUUCCGCAAUGGACGAAAGUCUGACGGAGCAACGCCGCGUGAGUGAUGAAGGCUUUCGGGUCGUAAAACUCUGUUGUUAGGGAAGAACAGGUGCUAGUUGAAUAAGCUGGCACCUUGACGGUACCUAACCAGAAAGCCACGGCUAACUACGUGCCAGCCGCCGCAGUAA
rnacentral:rRNA from 1 species